GGACCCGCACAAGCGGUGGAGCAUGUGGUUUAAUUCGAUGCAACGCGAAAAACCUUACCUACACUUGACAUACUUGGAAUCUUUUGUAAUGAAAGAGUGCCUUUUGGAGCCAAGAUACAGGUGCUGCAUGGCUGUCGUCAGCUCGUGUCGUGAGAUGUUGGGUUAAGUCCCAUAACGAGCGCAACCCUUACCCUUAUUUGCCAGCGAUUCGGUCGGGAACUAUAAGGGGACUGCCGGUGAUAAACCGGAGGAAGGUGAGGACGACGUCAAGUCAUCAUGGCCCUUACGUGUAGGGCUACACACGUGCUACAAUGGGGAGUACAGAUAGACGCUAAAGCGCGAGCUGGUGCUAAUCUCAUAAAACUCUUCGUAGUCCGGAUUGCAGUCUGCAACUCGACUGCAUG
rnacentral:rRNA from 1 species